rnacentral:rRNA from 1 species
UACGUAGGUGACAAGCGUUGUCCGGAAUUACUGGGCGUAAAGCGUGCGUAGACGGCUAUCUAAGUCGGGUGUGAAAGCCCCGGGCUCAACCUGGGAAUUGCAUUCGAGACUGAAUAGCUAGGGUGCGGUAGAGGGAAGCGGAAUUCCGGUGUAGCGGUGAAAUGCGUAGAUAUCGGAAGGAACAUCAGUGGCGAAAGCGGCUUCCUGGACCAGCACCGACGUCAGGCACGAAAGCGUGGGGAGCAAAGCAGG